rnacentral:sRNA from 1 species
CCCCAGUAAGUGGUAGGGACUCCUCCCGCAAGGCUUUCGACUUGGUCUAGGGUUCGCGGAGGCCAGUCCGGCACGCCUCACGAUACGGUCCACCCAGAACCAGACGCGUGGUUGACCCCUUUUCUCCUGCUUAAUCUGUAUGCAAGCCAUAUGAAAUGGCUAGCGAGGUUCGAGAACCGAGAGAUACCCUGACAAAGGGCUGGAAGUGGUUUGGGCGAAGCCUUACUAGAGCCCACGGAUCCGCAAUGAUAGCCCACAAGAGAGCUCCAAGUCUUAUUCUCUGACUACCGCGUUUCAGGUUUGUGCGUUUAUGCCAUAUACUUACGUCUGCAGGGUCAGGUACAAUCAGUUGCAUUGCUGACACUUUGUCUGUGUGACCUUUUCUUGCGUUUCCUCUUUCCUUCUCAGUUGCCGUGACCUCUGUAGCAGCUAGCAGCAAUCUCUGCAUCGCUGAAGAAGACGUUGCUUCGGUAUAUAGCCAUCUUGUUCAAAAUGUCCAAAGAGAUUACGCUACAAAGCCAGCUCUCUGUCUGGAAAACAGCGAAGAACUAGUGAUCAAAAACUAAAUUAAUUACUGAUAUAGACCUCCCAUCGUCACCGUGCCAACGUCACCAACCUCUCACCCUCCGCU